GUCGAGCGGCAGCACGGGUACUUGUACCUGGUGGCGAGCGGCGGACGGGUGAGUAAUGCCUAGGAAUCUGCCUGGUAGUGGGGGAUAACGCUCGGAAACGGACGCUAAUACCGCAUACGUCCUACGGGAGAAAGCAGGGGACCUUCGGGCCUUGCGCUAUCAGAUGAGCCUAGGUCGGAUUAGCUAGUUGGUGAGGUAAUGGCUCACCAAGGCGACGAUCCGUAACUGGUCUGAGAGGAUGAUCAGUCACACUGGAACUGAGACACGGUCCAGACUCCUACGGGAGGCAGCAGUGGGGAAUAUUGGACAAUGGGCGAAAGCCUGAUCCAGCCAUGCCGCGUGUGUGAAGAAGGUCUUCGGAUUGUAAAGCACUUUAAGUUGGGAGGAAGGGCAGUUACCUAAUACGUGAUUGUUUUGACGUUACCGACAGAAUAAGCACCGGCUAACUCUGUGCCAGCAGCCGCGGUAAUACAGAGGGUGCAAGCGUUAAUCGGAAUUACUGGGCGUAAAGCGCGCGUAGGUGGUUUGUUAAGUUGAAUGUGAAAUCCCCGGGCUCAACCUGGGAACUGCAUCCAAAACUGGCAAGCUAGAGUAUGGUAGAGGGUGGUGGAAUUUCCUGUGUAGCGGUGAAAUGCGUAGAUAUAGGAAGGAACACCAGUGGCGAAGGCGACCACCUGGACUGAUACUGACACUGAGGUGCGAAAGCGUGGGGAGCAAAC
rnacentral:rRNA from 1 species